rnacentral:lncRNA from 1 species
CGAUGAUAAAUCCCAGGUAUUUCAGUGACCUAAAGCAAAAUUUUGAUUUUUUCAAGCCUAUUGUUAAAUUUGCUUUUCGUAAGCACUGGGCCACCAACCGAAGGUACCGGAGAUGCGUCUGGAAAUCGGGAGCUAUCACCAAGAGAUCAUCUAGAUAGACGAAAACGUUUGAUCUCAACUGCGUCGGGAUCACUUUGUCCAUCACUCGGCAUAGCCUCUGUGCAGCAUUACACAGACCGAAGGGCAUCAUCACAAAGUGGUACAGCGGACGACCUGGAACGGUGAAAGCGGUACAUUUCCUGCCUUCUGGAUCCAACUUGAUUUGCCAGAACGCGAAUUUAAGGUCCACACUUGAAAUGUAAUGCGUCUGGUCGAUCCUGGACAGUAUUCCCUCGAUGCUAGGAAGAGGGUAAGCGUCUUUGACGGUGAGUUGGUUCAGCUUUCGGGCGUCUAAACAAAAUCUGUUUUGUUAGGUUGCCGCACUACCGUCGUCCUAUUGCUCCACGGACUAUCGCUAACCUCUAUCACUCCUAGUUCCAGCAUCUUGUCCACUUCGGUCCAGACCACUUCCUGCAUCGCUGGGGAUUGAGGGAAGUGUCGAUCCUUAAACGGCUCCGCGCCCUCUACCAACUGGAUCCGAUGCUCCUCUACAGUCGUUGACCCUAGUCCGGCAUCUUCGUAAGUCAGGAACUCCCCCUUUACCUUCUCCAGUUCUUCAGCUUCCUUCUCUUCCAGGUCCCAUGCGUCCACAUGUACGUUCUCCUGGUGGUCUUCGACAUAUUGACUGAUCUGUGACAUCUGGACUUCGGAUAUUUUGGCAUCGCUUGUCGAUCUUGGAUACGGACCGAGGACUGUGGGAGCCAACACGAACGACCCCCAAAAAUCGACCCCCAAGUACAUGAC